rnacentral:rRNA from 1 species
ACCGGCUAACUCCGUGCCAGCAGCCGCGGUAAUACGGAGGGUGCGAGCGUUGUUCGGAUUUACUGGGCGUAAAGCGCGCGCAGGCGGAUUGACAAGUCAGAUGUGAAAUCUCGGGGCUCAACCCCGAAACUGCGUCUGAAACUGUUAGUCUAGAAUCUCAUAGGGGGUAGGGGAAUUUCACGUGUAGGGGUAAAAUCCGUAGAGAUGUGAAGGAACACCUGAGGCGAAGGCGCCUGUCUGGAUGAGUAUUGACGCUGAGGCGCGAAAGCGUGGGGAGCAAACAGGAUUAGAUACCCUGGUAGUCCACGCCGUAAACGAUGAGUACUAGUUAUUGGAGGUAUUGACUCCUUCAGUGACGUAGCUAACGCAUUAAGUACUCCGCCUGGGAAGUACGGUCGCAAGACUAAAACUCAAAGGAAUUGACGGGG